UACGAAGGGGGCUAGCGUUGCUCGGAAUCACUGGGCGUAAAGGGUGCGUAGGCGGGGCUUUAAGUCAGGGGUGAAAUCCUGGAGCUCAACUCCAGAACUGCCUUUGAUACUGAAGAUCUUGAGUUCGGGAGAGGUGAGUGGAACUGCGAGUGUAGAGGUGAAAUUCGUAGAUAUUCGCAAGAACACCAGUGGCGAAGGCGGCUCACUGGUCCGGUACUGACGCUGAGGUGCGAAAGCGUGGGGAGCAAACAGG
rnacentral:rRNA from 1 species